UGGAGAGUUUGAUCCUGGCUCAGAUUGAACGCUGGCGGCAGGCCUAACACAUGCAAGUCGAGCGCGAACGGUCCUUCGGGACUUAUUAGAGCGGCGGACGGGUGAGUAAUGCAUAGGAAUCUGCCCAGUAGUGGGGGAUAGCCCGGGGAAACCCGGAUUAAUACCGCAUACGUCCUACGGGAGAAAGCAGGGGAUCUUCGGACCUUGCGCUAUUGGAUGAGCCUAUGUCGGAUUAGCUUGUUGGUGGGGUAAUGGCCCACCAAGGCRACGAUCCGUAGCUGGUCUGAGAGGAUGAUCAGCCACACUGGGACUGAGACACGGCCCAGACUCCUACGGGAGGCAGCAGUGGGGAAUAUUGCACAAUGGGGGAAACCCUGAUGCAGCCAUGCCGCGUGUGUGAAGAAGGCCUUCGGGUUGUAAAGCACUUUCAGUAGGGAGGAAGGCCUGUAAGUUAAUACCUUGCAGGAUUGACGUUACCUACAGAAGAAGCACCGGCUAACUCCGUGCCAGCAGCCGCGGUA
rnacentral:rRNA from 1 species